rnacentral:rRNA from 1 species
GGCGGACGGGUGAGUAAUACUUAGGAAUCUGCCCAUUAGUGGGGGACAACUAGAAGAGAUUCUAGCUAAUACCGCAUACGCCCUACGGGGGAAAGCGGGGGAUCUUCGGACCUCGCGCUAAUGGAUGAGCCUAAGUCGGAUUAGCUUGUUGGUGAGGUAAAGGCUCACCAAGGCGACGAUCCGUAGCUGGUCUGAGAGGACGACCAGCCACACUGGGACUGAGACACGGCCCAG